CCCUUUGACUGUAAUUUUCCUUUACCUACCGAAAUCUUAUAAAACGGCCCCACCCUUAUCUCCCUUCACUGACUCUUUUUUUGGACUCAGCCCACCUGCACCCAGGUGAUUAAAAGCUCUAUUGCUCACACAAAGCCUGUUUGGUGGUCUCUUCACACAGACGUGCAUGAAAUUUGGUGCCGUGACUCCGAUCGGGGGACCUCCCUUGGGAGAUCAAUCCCCUGUCCUCCUGCUCUUUGCUCUAUGAAAAAGAUCCACUUACAACCUCCGGUCCUCAGACCCACCAGCCCAAGGAACAUCUCACCAAUUUUAAAUCGGAGCCCUGCAAGAAUCCAAGUAAAUAAAGCUAAACCUUCACUACUGAAAACCAGCUUCUAGGUAACUCAUGUAUCAUACACCUUAUAUCCUUGCAUGGAUUCCCCAAAUCUAGUCUCUGAGGCCCUCAAUGUAUUGGAUGAUACCUGCCAAUACUGGAAAGGCCGUGUGACCACACACCAAGAAGCUAGCUGUCUGCAAGCCAGGAAGAGAGCCCUGACCAGUAAUCAAAUUGGCUGAAGCCUUGAUCUUGGACUCCUUGUCUCCAGAAAUGGCUGCUGUAGUAUCCUAGGGGUCCACUCCAGUCCCUGGUUACCUCGAAUUUUCCAGUCCCUGGAUGUCUCACCAGUGAAGGUUGUGAAACAGCAAAAAUGGCAGCCUGCACCCUCCUCUGGGAGCUCCAUCCCAAGAAGGUAGAAGAGUUAUCAGGUGACACUGGCUUCAGUUUCCACAAUAACAACUUGACUAUCAAUGCAAGAAGCAAUGCAUAAGGCUAGACCAGAUAGCCUGCUCUCGUGUGCUGACACUGGCCACACCUUGGGAAAAAAAUGUUGGCACUUCUUAGGAAGGAGCCAUCCAUGUCUGAAGAGAAGAAAUGAUAAUUAACUUCAUCAUGUGGAAAGCUUUAGAAGGAAGUAUCUUGUCCUUCUGUCCAAACCCGCCUCCUCCUCACCACCCCCAAUAAAAAUAAAAGCCAAACAAAUAAAACAUUA